UGGGCAAUAACUCCUUAAGGGGUCAAUUGACAAUUUUGGUCAAAUUGACUUAAUUGAAGAUCUUACUUUGCUGAACAUUAUUGCUGUUUACAGUUUAUUCUAUCUAUAAAUUAUAUUCAAGAUAAUAAACAAAAACAGCAAAAUUUCCUUAAAAUUAUCAAUUCAGGGGCAGCAACCCAACAACAGGUUGUCUGAUUCAUCUGAAAAUUUCAGGGC
rnacentral:lncRNA from 1 species